GUGACCACGGCAGGUUGGUCCUGGAGCAGAUGAGCGCAGAAUAUUUAGGCGAAAGCGCGAGGAGGGAGGGGAGCGCGGGGCAGGAGGAGUAUCUCGGCCCAGAAAAUUAUGCAUGCGUUAGGGAAGCUCUGAGAGAAUGGCUGUGGAAGCUCUCCACUGCGGUUUGAACCCACGGGGUAUUGAUCACCCUGCCCGUGCUGAAGGUAUUAAACUGCAAAUUGAAGGUGAAGGUGUUGAUUCUCACUCUAUUAAAAACAAAAAUGUCCAGAAGGUGCUUGACCAAAAAGGAACCCCCAAGCGACUGCAGGCAGAAGCUGAGACGGCUAAGUCGGCUACGGUGAAGCUAUCAAAACCAGUGGCUCUGUGGACUCAGCAGGAUGUCUGCAAGUGGUUGAAGAAACAUUGUCCGAAUCAGUAUCAGAUCUACAGUGAGUCAUUCAAACAGCAUGACAUAACUGGGCGAGCCCUGCUGAGACUUACAGACAAAAAGCUUGAGCGAAUGGGGAUUGCCCAGGAGAACCUCCGGCAGCACAUCUUACAACAGGUGCUCCAGCUGAAGGUGCGAGAAGAAGUCAGAAAUCUACAGUUACUCACACAAGGAAGGUUAUUGGCUGCUCAGUAAAGGCUGUUGCUGUGAAUGGAAGGAGACUCCACACUGAAACGGGAUGAGCAGAACAGUCCUCUCUGCAUUUCUCCAUUUGCUGGCUCAACAGAAGCAGUAAAUAAACCCUAUUCCCAGAACUAUGCUGACAACAUUGAUGAUGGCGGCACACAAAUUAGGAGCCUCAACCGAGGGUUCUCCAUAAACGCGGUUAGCCUUCCAAGCUGCUGUCCUGCCAGUCGAUAUGAACAUGGCCUGUUCCUCACAGAAAGACUAACUCAUGGCACUGCCAGAAGAUAUCCUUGGAGCAUUGACAGAUUAACCAGAUUAACUGAAAAACCACCCAUUCAGUCAAGAUUAUGGGCUUUGGGAAAUCUUAGUUUGCUGUGGAUUUUUAAAUGAGGUACAUAAUAUACAGUGCCAACUUGCUUCAAGUGGUCAUUGGCAGACCAUUAGCUGGAAAACUGCUUCCGGUUUUCAUCACUGUGCAUAACUCAAGCUCCCUUUGGGGAGCUGACUGUGCCCUUCACUAGAAGUCCCGUUUUAGCAUGGCAACUACUGGAUUAUUUUAUUAUGUGUGCAGACGGCAUGAUGCGUUAGAAAAAAAAUUAUGGCAGUUCUGCAAUCUCAGUGGAAGUGUUCACAAUAUUAUGCCCUGGUAGGAAUGUAAACAUGUCUCGAUUGUGUUAGUUAUGACAUCUAAAGGUAUUCUGUCCAACUCUUAAGCACUUUACAUGAGAACCCCCUAUACCGAAACGAAUCAGCACGUUCAGUACAUGUGAGAAAACAAGUCUUUUUUUUCUUUCUUAUAAAUCUUGUCCUAUUUCUGGCUCAGACUGUCCAAGAUGAGGCUCCACUCCUAGCAUAUACUGCGUCGUUUGUGGUAGAUUGGUAAAUAUGGCCACAGUACUGUUAGACUUAACCUCUUGACACUUUACUGAACAACUGGAUUUCUUACAGCAGCAAAGGGAGGUAAAGGUGGGCCUGGGGAAUGGUGAUCAUUUAGCUCUAGUUUCCUCUUACCUGGGCACAACUUACCACGAGCACAUACACACACUCAAACACAGGAGGCUUCUAUUUGGCCAAUGUGUGUAAUCUCUCAUGCUAUAGAAGAGUUCUUUCCAAAGAACCAAAAUGGGGGUGUGGCCAUAUUUUAAUCUUAGCCUAGGUGCAUUGAUGGUAAAGACAGCAGAAUGCAGUUUCCCAGGGUGUGGUCUGCCUUUAACACUUUGGAAACCUCUCUAGGUCAAGUUCUGAUCACAAUUCUUUGAAGAGAAAAAACAGCAAGUGACCCCCUGCAUGUCUAGAGAAGCAAGAGGUUCCAACCCCACACUAGGUUUCUUCCUCAGAAGAGAACCUCCUAGUCCUUUUUAAUCCUUUCUGGGAUUAUACCCAUGACUAAUUUUUUUGUACUAUGUUUUACAGCAAAGCACAGUCCUGGGAAACCAGUCAACCCAGUUAUUACUUGUCUUUAGAGAAAUGUCCAUAUUGAUUGACCCUACAUCAUGCUUCAGCAUUUUUUUUGUCCUGAAAAUGUAAAGUUGACUGAAUCAAAAACUCAGCCAAGUAUGUUCUGUGUGCCCACAGUCCCAGCCUGAGACCAGCAGACAUCAGAGACUUUUCUUUCAAUACAUGUAACAACCCUGGGAACCUGCCAGCACAAGCAAGCUUGGCAGUUCAGAGGGUCACCAGACACACACUCAUUGUCAGUUCUCCCCACACCUUGCCUCCCCUGGGGGUAUCAGGAAAUGCACAGCCCAUUAGAAAACUACCCCACCUGAGAUUUGGAAACUUGACAGGGAAGGAAAGAGAUCCAAAUGUGAUUCGGGUGAGUCACCCAGCAGCAUGACUCACGACAAGCCUGCGGGCUGUAGUGCCAAAGAAGGGGGCUUGCAAGAGGGAACUCAGAGAAGCUCCAGUCGCCACCAAAUCUGGCCCUCUGAUGGGUCGGCAUAGGCACCAUCAGGCCCCAAGCAGACCGUAAUUCUUUACAAAUCCAGAAUUAGGAAGUCAAACCCUGGCUGCCAACACCCCUGGGCACCUCAGUCUCCACUGCCCAUCUCCUGAGGUUCAAUUCCAAUUCCAGAGGCUCCCUCCAAUCUUUCGUUUCUUCCCUUCUUUAUUCAGCAAGUGUUUAUUGAGCAUCUGCUAUGUGCCAAGCAUUAAGCUGGGGCAACAACAGUGUACAAGGUAGACUCUCCUUGCCCUUAUGAUAUCUCCUCCUCCCAAACACUACCCCACCCCACCUUUUCCACAAUGCAAACUGAAUUCAGACAGCAUUCAUCCCCUGCCAGAGCAACGUGGGGAAAUGGACAUGCACAGUUCCCUUGCCUGAGGAAGUGGACAGCGUCAGGCCAUGUAUUUGCGCCCGUCAUGUACAGCCAACCCUCCCAGCACCCAGAUUUAGCUGGUAGGAGCUCCCCAAAGCAACUUUCAGUUGCUUGAUAGCCACCCUGGUCACCUAUAUUCCCAUCCUUUAUGCAGAAACAGCAAUUCAUCAUCAUGCUGGAUUCUCUGAAGCCCCAAUUCUAUAACUAGUCCCAGGGACACAAAAUCGGGCCUGAUGAAUUCGAAAGAACUACUACCAGGUGCUGAGAUAUUAUCUGGGAAUGAGUUGGUUUAGCCAGGGACAUUCUGAGAACAACUGUUAACACCCUUGGAAAACUGGACAUGCUUUGUGGUGCAGAUAGAUGUUCAUUAAAUGGUGGUGGUUCAUCCUUACUGACUUUGGCUUUUGCAAAAUAUGUUACAAACCAUUAAAUAAGUAGAGUUUCCUAGCCUUUUUUUUUUUUUUUUUUUUGAGUCAAAAGUGUGCUGGGCAAUUAUUUAAAGAUGAUGGGUAAAGAUGGAGAUAGGAAAGGGCAAAGAUGGAGAUAGGAAAGGGCAAAGAUGGAGACAAUGAAAGAGCCCCACUGACGAUGGCUUCUCUAGAAAUGCCUUAAUUCCUGGCACGUACCACAUAUUUGCAUAUGAACUACUGUUUUCCAAACUGUCGACCUCUGUUUGAAAUCAUCUGGAGGCAUAGUUUUGGAAACGUGGUGGCACAAAAUCUGAGCAGUCAUGAGCUAAACCAACAAAAUGGAGAAAGUUUUCUUCACAGCCUUGGGAUUCUUUGUUCUGUGUUGACCCACAGUGACCCAUGGUUAUUUCCUGCUGUGCUGAACCUUCUUGCCAAGAUGUGUGUAGGACAUUUUACUCCCAGAACCUCAGAGAUGGCUGUGGUGAGUUUUGUUUAGUAGGAAGCAGGAGGUGGGGAGGUAAGGGAUAAAUGCUUUGAUGUCUAAGGGCUGUAAACAGUUGAUGCAUUUAUUUUUCCUUUUACUUGAACCUGUGCUGAAUCUUUUUAUUAAAAGGCUGGGCCCCUCACUUGCACGGGAAAGGCAGUCUUGGGAAGGAACAGAAACGAAUAAUUAUUAGACUCUCUGGGUUGCCAAGGGGAUAAGUUUGUUCCAGCUCCAGAAGUGAAUUUAAAUACUCAGAGCAUCGGUGGUUCUGCUAGGGUAAAAAUCAAAUCACUUGAGUAGUUUUAAGACAUACCUAGGGGGACAGAGACCCUAUCAGCUUUCUUGCGGGUAAUGGCAUCUUCAAUUCCCUGCUCAGGCUCUGUGAGGUGUGUAACCGCAGCGUCGAUUCCACCUCCCGAUUACUGGGAAGUAACCCGGGUCCCCUCCAGGGUCACUUCUCAGUUGCCCAAAGGCUAAUAGUCCUUCAUUCUGAGGGAAUUCUGCCUCAUUUUUAAACUUCAAGGGGAAAAGGAAUUAUCAACCUGACGUGAGAAUAUAAACGGAGCAUUAAAACCUCUAAUGGAUGGACCCCCUUGUUACUUGCAAAUGCUUUCUCUGUCUGCAAAUGUCACAUAAUUGAUUUUGGAUAGGAACAGUAAAAGCCUCCUGGAAGAAAAGUUUUCAAGACCCCCUUAGCACUUUCGUUUCCUCAAAACUUCCUCUUCCAGUGCAUCAGCAGCUUCAUUCUUUGUGAUAUUUUCCUCUACGUUCUUUAAUUUUGUUACUUGACAACUAGACCUAAAGCUGCUGUCGUCUCUUUUUAAAAACCUCACCUUUGAAAAUGACAUCAGUUCCUUUCUGCCUUAAAGGCUGUUUUUAUUCAGCUCUCCCACAACCCCUUCCGCUUUACUUACUUUCUUGCGUUGUUUUGUAUUUUUUUUUCUUUUAAUCUCUCUCUUCUUUUCACAUAGUUCCUUGGGUAGGUUUCAAGUAUUCUAUAAAGAACUCAAACAGCGAAACAUAGUGUGAUCACCUUUUUUCCCCAGGACUGACUGAGAAUUCCUUCUUAAGUUUGAUCCUGGGGAAAGCUUGGUGCCCAGACAACGCUGGGACAGGGAUUGUCAUCUCCAGGGGGUGGCCGGUCAGUGCCGCUAAUCAAAACAAGGGGCAUGAGAUCGUGAGGGAGGACAGCCCAGGAGAUGCAGCUGCUCAGGGCACAGCUGGGGACUCGGUUUCAAAGACAAGUGGGUCCUGCCCCUUGGUCUCCUUAGAUGUCCAUCUAAUCCUGUAGCCAGAGAGCUAUCUUAUGAAUUCUGCUUUAUCAGUGUGGAUGAUUCUUGGCUCCACAGCACAGCUUCAAGGUCAGGGAGCUGCAUUUCCAUUAUUUUGCUCUGGUGACGUAACUCUAGUAAGGAGACAGGGAGCCUUCUUUUGAAGGCGAACCACCUGUGGGAAGCUUGAGGAAAACUUAGCCAAGUGCACAAGGAGGUUACACCAGCCCUCAAUAAAAAGAACAAAAUAGAGCCUUCCCUGGAGAUUCUCAUUUGGGAGGAUGGCUAGGAGGAUGGUAUUCUGAUUUUCUUCUGCCUAUCAUCUUGGCCCUGCAGGGGAAAUUCUGGGCAAGUGGGGCAAGCACUACGAUCUAACAUUUUUAGAGUGAAAAUUGGCCCGUGACAAAUAUAGAGGAGAAGUGCUGUUGAGUAUGGGGCUAGUUUUAGACCUCCUGUUCAGCAGCACUGACUGAGAAAUUACUUCCACAGCACAGCAGAAAAGGGGUAUAGAAGGCCUUGUAAAUCUGAAGCUUCCGUUCCACGUAGGGCUGUCUUAAAACCUUGCAGAGCUCCAAGCAUUCUUACUUCCGAGCCUCCUUCCGCAAUUAUAUCAAGCACUCGAAGGCACCAACAACAUACACCUCAUAAAAUUUCGAGGUAACCAUGACUUGCAUUGAAUUGCAGGUGACUGGUUGACAUUGUUACAGAUACUUACACAUUCAUUCUGAUUAUACAAUAUCCUUUUCAUAUUUGGGAGCCAAUGGUUCAGGGGUUUCAUUGUUUCAUUGCUUGUUUUGUUGUUGUUGUUUUCCAAACCUCAAACAUUUACAGAAGCCUUAGAAAGGCUCUUAAACCCAGGCCUUUUUGCCUGAAGUGCAGCGAUAGAAACAGCCCUCUGACAUAAACAAGGAGACUGUUAAAUUAAGCCAACGUAGGAGAUACUAACACCUGAAAUCUUUAAGGCACCGAAGACCCUGCUGGUUGCCUUCUGCAUUGUUUAUAGCCUUCUAAAUUUCAAUCAUUUGGAUCAAAGGAAAUAAACAGGCUGCUUUCACGUGGCCCUGGCACAACAGCACACACACAGCUACUACACGUGGAAUUCUAAGCUGGGUUGACGUGCCAAAGCACACAGACCUGUUUCGUGUGGUCGUAUCUAUUCACCACCACCGACCCCCAUUUUCUCUGAAAAUGUACUCAAAUGCUUUACUCCAAGAAAAUUCUAAAAUGAGACUCUUAUUAUUGAGAUCAUUACUUCUCUCAGGGUGGGGGAACUGAUGACACAAAUGACAUAACCUUGAAGAAAAAUCACUGGCCAUUAAAUGCCUUGAUGUUCCAUUCCACAAGCUGGCAUUGGUCUUCUCCCAUCUCCCCAGAGGUCAGCCUGGCCUCCCUCUCAAAUAGCACAAACGUCAUAAAGACACCUUUUGAAGCUCUGAAUAGACUCCCUAUUCAAGCAUAAUUCCAAAAAUGUGAUUUGAAUUGAGUACCACCUUGGUCCUUGAUGAUAUGAUUCCCUAGAUCAAUUCUAAUUCUUUAUAUGUAUUUUCAGUAUUUUUUUUUUUUAGCACAAUCAACCGCAUUUAUGUGUUUGCAUUGGGAGCUACCCGCUAACUCUGUUGCAGCUUUUGACAAUGCCUAUACCUAGUUCCCAUUUGAUGCGUUUGAGAGGAGACCAAAAAUGUUUCCCUGCAUACCAGCUGCAGAGGUUUUGAAGUACGUAACCAGGUUCACUUUCACAUCAAAAGGCCCCUGUUUCUAGGUGGAAAAUUUAAAGAGAAAUGGGGGGGGGCAGGGGGAGUAUUCAUAUUUGAACACUGGAACCUUUGUCAUUUUCAUUAUAAUUCCACUCUCACCUCACAUCACCCUUCUCUUUCUAGAAGCAGUAGCCUCUUCAGUGAGUGUUGACCCCCACUUGGGGUAGUCAGGAUUCCACUUGCUUAAAUUCACUCAAAGGAAAUUGGAAGCCUCUCUGGGGCUCUGAAUGAUUCCUCCACCACUACAUUUCCUUCACCAGUAGAAAAAUGCUAUCCUUACAAGGCCAUGUUUGAGGAGACCUCUGUUUAGCUGGUGAAAGUUCACAUUACAGAGAGCUGAAUAAUGCCAGGUUCUUGACUUUGCCCUGUAAGUCUCAGUUGUGAUUGGCACGGAAGCAACUAGUCUGCUGAAAAGCCAAGCCAGCACAAAUGUUUUGAAAUGAAUUCCACUAAAACUCCUGUGUCACUACAUCCAACUUGCUGUAGGUCCAGUUAAUCCAACUAUUUAAUAUCAUUAGGCACCAAAUUAAAUAGUUGUACACAAAAUUUUAGAAAAGGUCAAUAUCGUAACACAAUUACAUAUUAGCAGUCAAAAGUACUUGAGAAAAGAAAAUAUUGAUCUCUUGUGGUUUCUGUACUUGAGUUAUUCUUAGGGCUCUGUGGAGACUGGCACUGCUCUGAUAAAGGGGAAGAUGUUUUGAAUUCAAGAAUACUUGAACUCAAGAGAAAUUGCCCAUCUCUCUGGGCCUCUGCUCAUCCGUUUGGGAUGCUACCUGUUCCAUCUUAGCAGACAGGGUUGUUUGGAGGCCAAAACGAGCUAAGCGGAGAAGCUGUCCUGUACCACCAAUAUCUGCGUAUUCAUCAUGGUGAGCAGGGAUGUGGGCUUUUAUCAGUGAGUCCUUCCCCUUAUUUUAUGCCUUUCCCUAUAGCUAUUAUUACUGAGAGUCCAUUCUGGUAUUUUAAAAAGUAAAAUGAUAAAGUAUCAAUCAACCUUUUUUGGGGGGUACAAAAUUACUUUAUUUGAAGGAAUGAUGCUAAGGAAGGAACUUAAGUAGAUGUUUUUGUACAACUUAUAGAAAAGGUGAAGGUAACCCAAACACUUCAUAUGUACACACAAUACCUGGGGGCUGGUCUGAAGAGCCCAUGAUUAGGGUGUCCAUUUAUCUCCACCUUCCAAAGGUUUAGAGCACUGUGACCAAGCUGAGAGAGAGAGGUUUGGGCUGGGCUUAGUGCAGGUGAAGAUUGCCAAUCCCCGGGUUGAAGAAGACCAAUGAAGUUGACAAAUUGAGGGUUGCAGAAAGCAGAGAGCCACACUGAACUUCCUUUAUGAGCUUCUGUACAUUGGUCUUUGUGCUAGAAAGAGGAAGAAAAAUCACACAAUGUGAAUUGAAUAUAAAACCAAUGCUCUUGAUUGCAUACGAGGGGAAAAAAAUCUGACCAAGAAAAAAAAGGGUUCACUGUUUUACAAACACUAACAAACAUGGCUAUAAAAGCACAUUUCAUAACACAAAAGCCUAUGUAGAGGGUAGACAUUUUUAUAGCUUCCUUAAGUGAGUAGUUAAACCAGCAGUCUGAAUUCUCUUAGUCCCCUAACAGUGGUUAAUUAAAUAAGUAUUUUCCUUAUUCAUUGCCCACAACUGUGGUUUUUUUCUCUAUGCACCCUAGAAAAAUUCCCAAGACUAGACUUAAGGAGGACACAAGCUGGUUAUGUAGUAAAAUAAGAGUGCCUUUUCUGUUGGAUGUUCAUUUUAGUUCCCUGUGUUCCCAGGGCAUACAAUGUUUAGAAACUUUUUUCUCUAAACAUAAGAAUUAUUGCACACCACAAUUUUGAACUACCAAUUUCCAUAUCUUAAGCAGCUAUCAACUUGCCAAUUCCCUUUGGGUCUCCUUUACAUUUUCUUUUAAUGUUUCCUUGAGUUUUGGGUUGUGCUCAAAAAGACUUUUGGGGGAGGGGCAUGUUUCUUUUUAAAUUGAUAGAAAUGAAACUGUACAGAUUUUUACCCCCUUGUAUCUGUGAGCAUGAUCUCUAUCAGUCUUGAAAAUCUGCUUUAUCAUUUUGUAUAUUUGACUAUUUUGUAUUCAGCAUUACUUGAUUCCUUACAUGCAUGGCAAUGUAUUAAAAUGUGGGAUUUCUA